GCUGGAGACUGGAGAUGCGAGCGAAAGAGUGAGAGAAGCAGAGACUGGAUUAGAGUCAGAGUGAGCGCACUGUACUGGAGUGACUGUAAAUUGGAGUCGGUGGUCGCUGGACACUGGAACACACCGUAGUGAUAUGUUCGUGGGUGAAAUGUGUGCUCAACACACACAAGACAACACACGCGUUCCAGUAAUGCCAGGAGGCAGCAGUCAGUAGUCGGAGUAGUAGUGCCAGACGCCGGAUCGAAUAUUUCAAAGCUGAUACUUAAAACUAAAAAACCGUUGAGUUUAUAUAUAUAUAAUAUCUAAUAUAUAAUAUAAUAUAACAUAUAAUAUAAGGAAUAGUGAUAUUGAUAUUGAUACAAAGGUAUUCCUUUUAAACUUUAUACUGACUUGUGUUACUAAAAAAUUUCAAAUUUUGAAUUUAUAGGAACAAGUGAAUUUGAAAUAUUAUGUGACGAUAAAAAAUGAUAAAUUGGAUUAAUUGUCACCUGAGCACGUGAUUUAUUUACCGACCUUGAUAAUGCGGAAGUCGAGGAUGAUUGCAGAGGUAAUGAUUCUGCGGCUCGACGUAUCUAAUGUCUCGUGAAAACACGAGGUACGCACUGAGCGUAUAUAUAUAAGAGAAAAAAAAAGAAGAAGAAGAAAAAACCGCGGAGAGGAAAUAAAAAUAUAAAAUGAUCUUUAAAUUGAUAAUAAAAAUGAUAACAGUGUGAUAUGGCGCGAACGAUAUGGAUAGUAGUCUUGGUCUGUUGUCUAGCAGGAUUAUGGCAGGUGACGCAAGCCUACUUGGCAGUACUAUCAUCGAAUUUACCACCUGGUACACUGGUAUUCGAGGCAGGUGUACCUCAGUUAGGUGGAAGAAGAAAGUAUGAGGUAUCAGCAGACCGUACGGCACGUUUUGCACGUAAGCUACUCAAAGUAAAUCCUCACAAUGGUCGAGUUACGCUGGCAAGAAGUCUUAAUUGUGAUGGAUUGCAGUACCCAAGAUUGUUUACGUUCUACAUUGAUUCAACAAGUUCACGUCUAGGCAGACCCAAUAUUGAUUACUACAGUUUGCCUCUGCGGGUACUAAUUACCGGUUGCGGUGAUGAAAACCAGGACCUAGCGGCUACCAAGGGAUGGAUGGCCGAGACUCUCGCUUCAUAUGCGAUGCCAAGUACUGACAAAUUUACCGAGAUAUGUUUACGCACAUCGCAAUUAGUUGCUGCUCUACGUGAUUUUUUACCGCAUACCGCUAUCAAAGAGUGCGAUACAAGAUGGGGAGGUGUGGCCGACUCGCGAUUUCUAGUUGAAGGUGCGGCCGGUGAUCUUGUUUCAGCCUCCGAGCAAUGUCUUAUCGAUCCACUUUGGAAAAUCUCUGUAUCAAUGAUUUUAAGAUGCGGCUCAACUCAUCUUGCUGAUACCGAGCAUCGCUUGAAGAUUGUCUUUCAUCACCAGCAACUCGACGACACCGAUCUUGGAAGACGUGUUCGGAGAGAGUUAAAAAAUCGAUCUCCAUUUUUCGAACACGGACUUUACACUGCAGCAGUCGAGGAAGAAAAAGAACCCGGCGAAUUGGUAACUGUUGUACGUGCGCGUGAUCCAGAAGGCGGUACUGUACAUUAUUCAAUGCAAUCUUUAUUGGAUGCACGUUCCAGCGCUCUCUUUCUCCUCGAUUCUAUCAGCGGCAAAGUAACAACACGUGCUAAACUUGAUCGCGAAAGCGUUGAGCUUCACUAUUUCAAAGUCCUGGCCGUCGACGAUUCGUUUCCACCUAGAACAGGAACUACAACUUUGCAAGUAAAUGUAUUGGAUGCCAAUGAUCAUGCGCCGAGUUUUGAAUGGCCAGAAUAUGAAGCGCCGAUACGUGAAAGUGUACCUCUGGGUUCGACAGUAAUUGCCGUUAAAGCGACGGACAAAGAUUCCGGCAGGAAUGCCGAAGUUGAGUAUGCAAUCGUAUCAACAACUGGCGGUGGUAUGACAUCAGUAACUGAAGACUGUGCGACAUUUCGUAUUGAUCCAAAGUCUGGGGUUGUAACGACCCGGAUGUCAUUGGACCGGGAAAAAACUGAAGUGUAUACGGUACUAAUUAGCGCAUCAGAUCUUGCUAACACCGUAUCAGCACGUAAAACAGCGACUACUACACUGAUAGUACGUGUUCUAGAUGACAAUGAUAACUACCCACAAUUUUCUGAACGCUCUUACUCUACGACUGUUGCUGAAGAUAUGGACUACACAACAAAUCCGGUAAUUGCCGGCAUAAGAGCUACAGAUGCCGAUAGCGGAGCUAAUGCCGCUAUUAGAUACAAUAUUAUCGGUGGUAAUACACAGAAUACAUUCUCAAUAGACUCAUUAAGUGGUGAUGUUACUCUAGUUAAACCACUUGAUUACGAGACGAUGGAUCUUUAUCGCAUAGUCGUACGCGCACAGGAUGGAGGCGUACCGGCUCGAUCAAAUACGACUCAACUCCUGGUACAUGUCGAAGACGUUAAUGAUAAUGCGCCAAGAUUCUUCACCAGUCUUUUACAAGAAACAGUGUCCGAAGGAGUGCCAAUCGGUCAUUCUGUUAUACGUGUGCAAGCUUACGACGGUGAUAAAGGCUUGAAUGCGCUGAUAAAAUACUCAAUUGGAGCCAGAGAUUUUAACGGAGCGUCUACAGAAAAUUUUCCAAUAGCUGUUAACGCUGAAAGCGGUUGGAUUCACACGACCAAGCAGUUGGAUCGCGAGGUCUGUUCGCGGUAUCAAUUCACGGUAAUUGCUGUUGAUUCUGGAGAACCGCCAAAAUCUGGAAGCGCAACUGUCGUUCUCACGGUGACUGACAUAAACGACAAUGAUCCGAAAUUCGAGCCGAAAAAUUACGAAGCCGUAGUAUCUGAAGACGAUCCACCAGGUACGUCAGUCGCGUUAGUCACUGCUACGGAUCCUGACGAGGAUGCUAAAAUUCACUAUGACAUCACUGCGGGAAACACCCGGGCUAGAUUUUCCAUAACUUCGCAAAAUGGUGGAGGUUUGAUAACUGUAGCUCAGCCGCUUGAUUACAAACAGGAGAAAAGAUUUGUAUUGACAGUGACGGCAUCAGAUUCUGGUGGUAGAAUGGACACAGCGUUGGUUUAUAUAAAUGUAUCAGAUGCUAACAAUUUUGCUCCGAUGUUUGAAAACGCGCCGUACUCUGUAGCAGUAUUUGAAGAUGCACCGAUUGGAACCACUGUCUUGGUAGUUAGUGCCACUGACUCGGAUGUCGGACAAAAUGCCCAAGUAACUUACAGUCUUGGUACUGAAGGUGAUGGUAAUGACAACGCUGAAUUUACAAUAAAUCCACAGACUGGUGCAAUAACAACGACUCGCGCAUUAGAUCGUGAACGUUCGUCAGGUUAUUUAUUAACUGUGACAGCUAAAGAUGGUGGUGUCCCGCCACUUUCAGAUACCACGGACGUCGAAAUAUCAGUUACUGAUGUAAAUGACAAUGCCCCAGUGUUUGAAGCUGCUCAGUACACUGGCACAGUACCUGAAGAUGUUUUACUUGGCACGGCGGUUGUUCGUGUGUCGGCAACAGACGCGGACAUGGGAUCAAAUGGACGAGUCAGAUACACUCUGGAUGAUGAUGGUGAUGGUGCAUUUGCUAUUGACUCUACUACAGGUAUCGUAAGAACUGCCAAACAACUAGACCGCGAAUCUGUCAUGAGGUACACACUGAAAGCGAUGGCAGUUGACAGAGGAAUCCCAGCGCUUUCUUCAGUCGUGCCGAUCAUCAUUAAAAUCGAGGACGUCAAUGACUCGCCGCCGGCAUUUGAAAGUGACAAAAUAGUUUUAUAUAUCGCUGAGAACUCACCAGUAGGAUCAACAGUGGGAGAAAUUUACGCGCAUGAUCCGGACGAGGGUUUGAAUGCAGUAGUCCAGUAUUCAAUUAUCGGAGGAGAGGAUGCCAAUAGUUUUGCUUUAAAUACCCGGCAAGGUGCUGAUCGCGCAGAGUUAUUGACUCUUGAAGAAUUGGAUUACGAGUCACCUAAAAAAAAAUAUGAAAUAUUCGUACGUGCGGCGUCCCCGCCACUGCGCUCCGAUGUCCUGGUGCAAAUUAUGGUCACUGAUGUCAAUGACAACGCGCCAGUACUAAAAGACUUUCAAAUUAUUUUUAAUAAUUACAAAGACUUUUUUCCCACUACACCGAUUGGAAAAAUUCCUGCUGUCGAUGCCGACGUCACCGACAAACUCAUUUAUAAUAUUCUAGCCGGUAAUAAUGCCAAUCUCAUAACACUCAAUAAAACAACCGGUGAAAUAAUUUUAUCACCCCAAUUAAAUACCAACGUACCGAGAAUAGCAACCAUGGAAGUGUCUGUAAGUGACGGAGUCAAUGAAGCCAAAGCUACGAUGACGUUAUCAGUAAGACUCAUAACUGAUAAGAUGCUUUACAAUUCAAUAACAGUCCGGCUUGAUGAUAUGACAGUCGAGGCAUUUUUAUCACCACUUUUAAAUUAUUUUAUUGAUGGUCUAGCAGCUAUAAUUCCUUGUCCACGUGAAAAUAUAUUUAUAUUUAGCGUGCAAGAGGACACUGACGUCCAUGGAAAAAUUUUAAACGUGAGCUUUUCAGCUCGUAAAGUUGAACCUGGCAAUAAUGAUGAGUUUUAUAGCUCGCAGUAUCUUCAAGAACGUGUUUAUUUAAAUCGAGGUAUCUUGGCAAGACUAUCAACUCUUGUUGUCCUGCCAUUUGAUGACAAUCUUUGUGUAAGAGAGCCGUGUUUGAAUUUUGAAGACUGCGUUACUGUACUAAAAUUCGGUAAUGCGUCGGGAUUUGCCAGCAGCAAUACAAUUUUAUUCCGUCCAAUUUAUCCAGUAACGACAUUCUCAUGCGAGUGCCCACGUGGAUUUACUGGCAGUAAAGAGGCUUAUCUGUGUGACAUGGAAGUUAAUUUAUGCUUUUCAAACCCGUGCAAAAAUUACGGUACUUGUCAACGUAAAGAAGGCGGCUACACCUGCAUCUGCGGUCCCAACUUCACUGGGGACAACUGUCAAGUCUCAUUGGACGAAGGCGUCUGCACGGCGGACAUCUGCAAAGGCGAAUCCAAGUGUUUAGGAAAAUUAGGCGGUGGUUUCACAUGUGAAGCUUGUCCGAUAACUCCACUGGAUACCGUGACUCCAUUCUGUGAAUUACGAGCCCGGAGUUUCGGUCCCGCGACUUUUCUGACAUUUCCGUCACUUAAACAAAGGCAUCGUCUGCAUUUGAAAUUAAAGUUUGCAACAGAAGUGUCUGAAGGUUUGUUGCUUUACAACGGACGUUAUAAUGAGAAACACGAUUUUAUUGCGCUGGAAAUAAUUGAUUCGCAAGUGCAAUUUAGCUUUUCACUGGGCGAUGAAGUCACGAGAGCGACGGCUGCGAUACCUGGAGGUGUCACAGACGGCCAGUGGCACGAAGUUCAAAUUAUUUAUGUAAAUCGCACUGUUACAAUUGCCGUGGAUGACUGCGAUGUCGCCUUGGCACUGCGUUACGGCGACCGACUUGGUGAUAAAUGGACAUGUGCUGGUACUGCUGAGCAAAUACUCGAGCCACGUUGCAGUUUGAUCACCGAAACUUGCCACCGUUUUCUAGAUCUCACUGGUCCGAUGCAGCUUGGCGGGCUGCCUGCUAUCCCAUCUGACUUUCAAGUCACCAACAAAGAUUUCGUCGGAUGUAUAAGCGAUGUUUACAUAGACUAUAAAUUCAUUGAUUUGAAUUCUUUCGUCGCCGACAAUGGGACGACUGUAGGCUGUCCAGAAAAACACGCGUUCUGCGCUUCGUCCCCGUGCAAUAAUAAUGGAAAAUGCCGUGAAAUUUGGUCUGGGUAUGUGUGCGAGUGUGAAGAAGGUUUUGCUGGUUCCCAGUGCAGUGAAGAAGUGGGCAAGCCCUGGCGCUUUCACGGCGACGGUCUUCUGAGUUUUAAUCCGCUGCUGAGACCAAUUCAGCUGCCGUGGAUGACUGCUUUGAGUUUGCGAACUAGAGCCACCAACACUUUCGUAAUGAGCAUACAGAUCGGACAAAAUAGCUCGGCGCUAUUUUUCCUCAAGGAGGGCAGACUCGCGACCUCAUUAGACGGAAUUGAAAUAAUAAGAACACAAACGUCAAUAAAUGAUGGCGAGUGGCAUCACAUUGAAAUAAUUUGGCAAAGUAGUUUAGUGUCUCUGGACAUGAACUACCGAAACCGUCCCUCGAUUUCAUCUUUGCCAGCAAAACUCCAAGGUCUGUAUGUAGGAAGAAUUUUACUGGGCGGAGCGGACCAAUCAGUCAGCACGGAGCUCCCAUUCUAUGAAGGCUGCAUCCAAGAUUUACGCAUCGGAACUAACCAGAGCGUACUCCAACGUCCAACUGUCCAGGAAAAUGUCGGUACCGGUUGUCUUGCUGACAAUGAGUGCAGCGUUACGUGUCCUGAAGAGUCAAGUUGCGUCUCCAAGUGGCAGGCUAGUGAGUGCGUCUGUAAUUCUGGACACGUUGGUGAAAACUGCGAGGCUAUCUGCGACAUAAACCCGUGUCACAGUGACUCUGGUACUUGCAUCGAGGUAAAUAACUCCAGACGUGGGUACAAGUGUGAGUGUAACAGUCAAGAGUACACCGGAGAGUACUGCGAAGUAAGAGUGGAUCAGUCUUGUCCAACCACCUGGUGGGGGUCGCCAGUCUGCGGCCCUUGUUACUGUGAUGAAUCAAAAGGUUACGACCCGUCUUGUAAUAAAACAACCGGGGAGUGCUACUGCAAGAAGAAUCAUUACCAACCACCUGGUAAAGACGAAUGUAUUCCUUGUAAUUGUUACAGUAUUGGAAGCCGAGGGCCGCGUUGCGAUGCAGUAACAGGACAGUGCAGAUGUCUCGAAGGCGUUAUUGGUAGAGCUUGCACAGACUGUGCUAAUCCGUAUGCUGAGGUAACAUCAAACGGCUGCGAAGUUAUCUACCACGGCUGCCCUAGAUCAUAUGCCGGUGGAUUGUGGUGGCCCCAGACUUCAUUUAACAAGACAGCGGUGCUUGUACUCGAAGAAUGUCCUGGUACUGCUGAAGGUAUGGCCUCCCGAGAAUGUGACAGUAAAUCAGGUGGAUGGCAAUCUCCGGAUCUGUUUAAUUGCACAUCUGAGGCAUUUGUGCAGCAACGAUAUUAUCUUGCGGCUUUUGAGAAUUCAGAGAUGACACUUGAUAGAGAUAUGGCUGUUAAAAUAGCUCGUGAUCUUCAUGAAGCUGUACAGACUGUUAAAAAUAUGUAUGGCGCUGACGUACUUAUUACAGAGUCGCUUCUUAUCGCAUUGCUCAAUUAUGAGGAGAGUCAAGCUGAUUUACAUCUCACGCAUAAUCAAGAUAAAGACUACGUACCACAUUUAGUUGGCAUAGCCAGCUCAGUGCUUAAUAAAAAAUACAUAAACAUAUGGGAGAGAAUACAGCAGCUCAAUGGUGACAGUCCUGAUAAAAUACUCGAUGCGAUGGCCAAGUACUUGAAAGUUUUAACUGGAUCCCAGCACAACACAUUCACUGAUCCGUUUGAAGUCGUUGAUACCUACGUCAUCAUGGGUAUGGAUACGGUGACAUCUGAGAGUCUCUUUGGGUAUGAAACUGCCGAGUACAAAGAAGAUCCCGCGGCUUCAACUGCGCGCCCGGUUGAAGCUGACAGAAAAGUAAUUUUGCCUGAUACUUCGUCAUUUUUAUCAAUGCCAGCACAUUUAGAACCUUACAUAAGUUUUCCAAAGUACAACAACUACAUUGCGGAUCCCCGGCGUUUUGAUCCGUAUUCUAAAAUAAGAGUCCCCUUGAGUUUGUUGGGCAUCAGACCGCUGAACCCGGGAGAAGUUAAUGACAAAAAUAAAGAUAAUAAUGACAAAGCUGUGCUGAGCUACGUGCAAUACAAAGAAUUAGGAGCUCUGCUGCCUAAAAGGUUUGAUGAUUCAGUUAACGUACGGUGGGGAGUUGAAGUAGCCGUCGGAUCACCGAUAGUGACUAUUUCUGUGCUCAUCCCCUCGGACAAUGGGACCAAAUCACUGGUAGAUAGUCCGCAGUCACCUGUGCAAAUUCAAUUAUGGAUAAGCGAAGACGACGGGGCUAAAAUUCGGACCAACCCGCAGUGCGUUCAUUGGAGCACAGCACGAAAUUCUGGUGAGUGGAGCAGAAUCGGAUGCACGACGGAGAUCGACGAGUCCCAGGAAUCGGACCGUCAGAUGGUCAACUGUUCGUGUCAAGGUGUAAUUUUGCAAGUCAAAAAUCUCCAACUCGCGACUUUCGCUGUCUUGACAGACGUCCUUGACCUUGAAUACGUACCGGAACCCUCGCUCUUGGAAGACGUCACCAGUUACAGCGCAUUCAUGCUCGCACUGCCACUUCUACUAUCAGCAUUGCUGAUCCUCACAUUAAUACGCGGUAGCGCUACUAAUUCAAAUAGCAUCCAUAAAAACCUGGUAAUGUGUGUCUUUCUAGCAGAAUUAUUGUACAUGAUAGCCUUGAAAGCACGCAGCCCGUUAGUUUCAAAUGAGUUUCCCUGUAAAUUAACAGCAAUUGGUUUGCAUUACGCAUGGCUCAGUGCAUUCGCUUGGACUCUGGUUGAUUCAAUCCAUCUGUAUCGUAUGCUAACGGAAAUGCGUGAUGUUAAUCACGGACAAAUGAGAUUUUAUUACACAAUUGGGUAUGCGAUGCCAGCAAUCAUCGUUGGAUUAACUAUUGGAGUACGUGCUGAUCAGUACGGUAAUUUUUAUUUCUGCUGGUUGUCUAUCUACGAGACCGUUGUUUGGUCAUUAAUUGGACCAAUUUGCGUUGCUGUUAUCAUCAACUUUUUUAUUUUAAUAAUGUCUGUCAAAGCGGCGUUUACAUUGAAAGAACACAUUAUGGGCUUUGGUAAUUUGAGGACACUGCUGUGGUUGUCUGUGGUGUCUCUACCUCUGCUGGGAGCUACCUGGACCCUGGCGGUGCUCAGUGCGUCUGAAAACUCCCCAAUGCUGUCUUACUUGCUCAGCGUGUCGAUCGUCACCCACGCGGCCUUCAGUUUAAUCGGCUACUGCUUCAUAAACGGACGAGUCAGAAGAAAUUUGUACCUGAGCUUGCUAAGAUGUUUCGGUAAAAAGUCACCGCUGCUAGAAAGCAGCAUGAUGGUGAAUGGCAGCAGCAGUCAAAAUGUAAAUGGACAAUCACGCUCAGCUUUGGCUUACAAUUCGACUUACGCUGGAACUGGUACCACUUGCCGACGUGUUCAUGUCGGAGUUUCUACAAGCAGCACCACUUCCAGAAGUACCAACAAAACUGGGUCAAGUCCUUACCGCAGUGACGUACACCUCAGACAUACUUCGACGUCGACGAGUAAUUAUAACAGCGACCGCGAUCCCUAUCUAUCAUCGCGUAGUCAACACAAUCGUCCAGAAACUACUGAAGCACGUGGGGGUCCAGGUGGCGGUGGUUCUAGACGAGAUUCAGAGUCAGACUCAGAUGGUUCGCAUGCCGACGACACCGGCGGCGGCAGAAGUCUUGAUCUCGCCAGCUCCCACAGCUCUGACGACGACGAAGUAACUACCAGUAGACGAACCCACAAAAAUAUCGGAGUAUCAACUCAGCAAGUUACGCACAACUAUCUACCUAAUAUUCAUCAGAAUGCUGGUGAUCAUCUAAACAUACUUUGCUCAAACACUGAUUUAUUUCCUAACAUAAAACCCAUUUACGCUCCAAGAUGGAGCUCACAGUUGCCUGAAGCCUACUUACCAAGCAACGUUGAUAUUCGCGGUAGCCAGUGGUCCGGUGGCACGAUGUCGGACAAUGAAAUCGCGUCGAACAAAACAUCCAGCCCUAAUCCGUUGCCUUAUCCAGACCUGAGUCCUCCGCAGAAGUUGGGCCCGCAUGACGAAAAUUACUCCGAGGGCGAGGAAAAAGUUAAUCCUGGGAAUGGGGGUGGUGAAAAAUACCUGUUUCCUUACACGGCUGAAGAAGACCACACUGUCUCUCCGACGCCGUAUUUGCUAUCAAUGUCGUCGCGUAUUUUGAGCUCGAGUAUGAGCCAUCAUUCCCAAAAUUCAAAUCACGAUAACAAUCACAGUGGGUCUGAAAGAUACGGGAGUUUAAAACGCGGACAGAGCCAGAGUCAGAGUCGUCAGUCUCUCCAUGGUUCAUUGCACGACAAUCUGAAUGCUGCCGACAGAUAUGGAAGUUUGAAACGAGGUAAAGUAACACCAACAGUCCUCGAAGAUAUGCCAGAGUACAUUCUGCCCAUGACCGGGAGAAUAUUAUCCAGUUCGCUGACUCACGAUCUUCAUCAUAGCAACGAAUUAGCCGCGUUGAGACAUCACCAGCAGCAGCAACAGCAGUUACAGCAUCAGCAGCAACAUUAUGAACAGACUAUCACUGAGACUGAGUGGAGUUGGAACAAACUCUGAGCUAAUAAAUAAAUUUUCUGAUUCCUGCUUUCUCUUUGGUGGCGGUAACUUUGGAUUUUUAAAAAUUUAAACAGUGAGGAGUAUCCUUAUGGUUUUACAGGAAGGAUAUUAACGCCGAGACACCGGUAUGAAGGACUCCGUCUACAAGAAAAUAACGUACAAAAUAAAUACCUUAGAUUCAAUAAUUUUCACCAGAUUUAAAUAGUAAGGUUUUACAGUCGAUUACCCGCCAUAAGUCUGGUUUUUUAAAAAUUCAAAAAUUAUUUUACAUCAGUUAACUUUGGUAUCAUAUAUAUUUUAUUUUUUUUUAUUUUGUAAUGGAUUUGUUGGAAAAAAAUCCGAAAAUUGUUAAUUGUUUAGUAACUUCAGGAUCAUUAUCGCUUUUCCUUGAGAAUGCUCGAUUUAAAAAUGAUGGGCAGCGGAAGCGAUUUCUGAAGUUUAGUUUCUCCGGAAGUCUAGUAAAUUUUCAUUUAUUUCUUCAUAUUUUUAGUUUACAAUUUUGAAAAUUUUAACGGAGGCUUAUAAUGAACUCGGUACAAAAGAGUUUAAGUGGGCGAAGAUGUUUAGACUCAGUAUUAAAGGCUGGGUAAGUAAAAGCUUCCGGAAAAAUAGAGACGAAGUUCCUUGAAAAAUUUUCAUGAUUCAAAAUCCCAUAAAUAUUUAAAACAAAUCUAAAAUCCCAUGAAGGAAAUUUGUUAACACAGGCUUAUAACGAGUAGUCGACUGUAAAUAUAUAUUUAUAUAUAAAUAAAUAUAUAUAAUAAUAAAAAAUAGAAAAAUAAAAUGUAAUUUUUUCAGAAACUAAAGCAGUGGCCAUGACUGUACUUAAAAUAUUUAAUUAUUUAAAAAAUAUAUAGAUAUAUAUAUAUUUAAGCCAUACUUGAUAAGUUUGUAUGUGUGAGUGCCUGUUUAUAUGCCUAAGAUAAUUAAUAAUUAAUUAAUCGCUCACUCAUUUUAUAAUGAUUAAUUAAUUAUUGAUUUAUAAUUCGAUGUAAUAGCUUUUGAUAAAUAUUCAUGUCGGGCUCAUUGUCAGCUAUCGUUUAAUUAAAAAAAAGACAUAGACUACUAUGUAUUUUAUAUACAUAUUUAAAAAUAAUUAUUUGUGAGACUAAGACGUAAUUUUAAAGACAAUGACUGAUCCCGGGAAAAAUGAUCUCUUGCUCAUUUUAUCAUUUAUAUCUACGUACUAUUGAUAAUAUACGUAAUGUACUUAAUUAAUUGUAAUUUUAAUUUUAAUUAUGUGCAAUGUAAAACAUUCCAGUUAUUCUUUAAAUGAUGUAUAUUUCAAAUUAUUAUUUACUUUUUUUUUAGUUUUUUAUACAAAUUUUAUUACUCGGAAAUGACACAAGAUAAUACUCAAAUUUUUGUAUAUAUUUAUACGAAUAAACAUGAUGACAAAAU